rnacentral:rRNA from 1 species
GACAGAGGGUGCAAACGUUGCUCGGAAUCACUGGGCGUAAAGGGCGUGUAGGCGGGAAGGUAAGUCGGGCGUGAAAUCCCUGGGCUCAACCCAGGAACUGCCUGUCAAACUGCAUGGCUUGAGACCGGGAGAGGUGAGUGGAAUUCCCAGUGUAGCGGUGAAAUGCGUAGAUAUUGGGAGGAACACCAGUGGCGAAGGCGGCUCACUGGACCGGUACGUGACGCUGAUGCGCGAAAGCGUGGGAGCAACAGGG